AUACGGAGGAUACGAGCGUUAUCCGGAUUUAUUGGGUUUAAAGGGUGCGCAGGCGGACCGUUAAGUCAGGGGUGAAAAGUUGGGGCUCAACUCCAAUCGUGCCUUUGAUACUGGCGGACUAGAGUGCAGGGGACGUGACUGGAAUGGGAUGUGUAGCGGUGAAAUGCUUAGAUAUGUCACAGAACGCCGAUCGUGAAGACAAGUCACGAAUCUGCAACUGACGCUCAUGCACGAAAGCGUGGGGAUCAAACAGGAUUAGAUACCCCGGUAGUCCACGCUGUAAACGAUGAUCACUCGUUGUUGGCCGGCGACGGUCAGUGGCUAAGCGAAAGCGAUAAGUGAUCACCUGGGGAGUACGCCGGCAACGGUGAAACUCAAAGGAAUUGACGGGG
rnacentral:rRNA from 1 species